UCUCCUGGAAACGGGUGGUAAUGCCGGAUGCUCCAGUUGACCGCAUGGUCCUCUGGGAAAGCUUUAUGCGGUAUGGGAUGGGGUCGCGUCCUAUCAGCUUGAUGGCGGGGUAACGGCCCACCAUGGCUUCGACGGGUAGCCGGCCUGAGAGGGCGACCGGCCACAUUGGGACUGAGAUACGGCCCAGACUCCUACGGGAGGCAGCAGUGGGGAAUAUUGCACAAUGGGCGCAAGCCUGAUGCAGCGACGCCGCGUGCGGGAUGACGGCCUUCGGGUUGUAAACCGCUUUUGACUGGGAGCAAGCCCUUCGGGGUGAGUGUACCUUUCGAAUAAGCACCGGCUAACUACGUGCCAGCAGCCGCGGUAAUACGUAGGGUGCAAGCGUUAUCCGGAAUUAUUGGGCGUAAAGGGCUCGUAGGCGGUUCGUCGCGUCCGGUGUGAAAGUCCAUCGCUUAACGGUGGAUCCGCGCCGGGUACGGGCGGGCUUGAGUGCGGUAGGGGAGACUGGAAUUCCCGGUGUAACGGUGGAAUGUGUAGAUAUC
rnacentral:rRNA from 1 species